rnacentral:rRNA from 1 species
AACGAACGCUGGCGGCAUGCCUAACACAUGCAAGUCGAACGAGACCUUCGGGUCUAGUGGCGCACGGGUGCGUAACGCGUGGGAAUCUGCCCUUGGGUUCGGAAUAACAGUUAGAAAUGACUGCUAAUACCGGAUGAUGACUUCGGUCCAAAGAUUUAUCGCCCAAGGAUGAGCCCGCGUCGGAUUAGCUUGUUGGUGAGGUAAAAGCUCACCAAGGCGACGAUCCGUAGCUGGUCUGAGAGGAUGAUCAGCCACACUGGGACUGGGACACGGCCCAGACUCCUACGGGAGGCAGCAGUGGGGAAUAUUGGACAAUGGGCGAAAGCCUGAUCCAGCAGUGCCGCGUGAGUGAUGAAGGUCUUAGGAUUGUAAAAUCCUUUCACCGGUGAAGAUAAUGACUGUAGCCGGAGAAGAAGCCCCGGCUAACUUCGUGCCAGCCGCCGCAGUAACAC